GGACUACUCGGGUUUCUAAUCCUGUUCGCUCCCCACGCUUUCGCUCCUCAGCGUCAGUAUCGGCCCAGAGACCCGCCUUCGCCACCGGUGUUCCUCCUGAUAUCUGCGCAUUUCACCGCUACACCAGGAAUUCCAGUCUCCCCUACCGAACUCCAGCCCGCCCGUAUCGGCUGCAAGCCCGCAGUUAAGCCACGGGAUUUCACAGCCGACGCAACGAGCCGCCUACGAGCUCUUUACGCCCAAUAAUUCCGGACAACGCUCGCGCCCUACGUCUUACCGCGGCUGCUGGCAC
rnacentral:rRNA from 1 species